ACUUCAAACCUCGUCCAAAAAGAAGAAGAAUCCAUUAAAGGUCUCAAAACUUUCAUAAAACCCACAUUUCAACCAUGAACGCCAAAAUGAUCACAGUAUUGGUACUUGUCGCCCUGUUCGGGCUUGCGGUCACUACCCCGGUCGAUAACAGUACUUACGACACUCUUGAAAUUUUUGUCCAAGGUGUCGGGGGACGUGGACCAUGUCGCAUAACUGGAGAGGGGUGUGGACCCUGCUCUGGGGGAGGUUGCCCCUGCGGAGGUCCUGGUCAACGGGAAUGCUGCUGCAGCCACGUGUGCAACUCACAUGACGGCGUGUGGGGGUGGUGCGCUUAAGGCUGACUUUUAUGGACAAUGGACAUCUUAAGGACUACUUUAUGGCAAUAUUUCCCAAAUUAUGAUAAACUCUAACAGAAGUUAGCAUACAUAUUUAAUUUAUUGCUUAAAAUGUACACGCAUGCAAGUUAGAAUUCUGUAUAAAUUAUACCAGUCUCGAAAUUAUUUAGUAAUAAAUAAAUAUGCAAAUUCCAA